rnacentral:rRNA from 1 species
AUUCCAGCUCCAAUAGCGUAUAUUAAAGUUGUUGCAGUUAGAACGCUCGUAGUCGGAUUUCGGGGCGGGCCGACCGGUCUGCCGAUGGGUACGCACUGGUCGGCGCGUCCUUCCUUCCGGAGACCGUCCCUACUCUUAACUGAGCGGGGGCGGGAGACGGAACGUUUACUUUGAAAAAAUCAGAGUGUUUCAAGCAGGCAGUGCGCUCUUGCAUGGAUUAGCAUGGGAUAAUGAAAUAGGACUUUGGUGCUAUUUUGUUGGUUUCGAACACCGAAGUAAUGAUUAAAAGGGACAGUCAGGGGCACUCGUAUUCCGCCGAGAGAGGUGAAAUUCUCAGACCAGCGGAAGACGAACCACUGCGAAAGCAUUUGCCAGGGAUGUUUUCAUUA